rnacentral:rRNA from 1 species
UGAGGAAUAUUGGUCAAUGGGCGGAAGCCUGAACCAGCUAUGCCGCGUGCAGGAAGGAGGCCCUACGGGUUGUAAACUGCUUUUACCCGGGAAGAAACCGCCCCCUGUGGGGGGCGUUGCCGGUACCGGGGGAAAAAGGAUCGGCUAACUCCGUGCCAGCAGCCGCGGUAAUACGGAGGAUCCGGGCGUUAUCCGGAAUUACUGGGUUUAAAGGGUGCGUAGGCGGGGCUUUAAGCCGGCGGUGAAAUGCAGCGGCUCAACCGCUGGAAUGCCGUGGGGACUGGGGCUAUUGGAUACGGGCGGGGCGGGUGGAACUCGUGGUGUAGCGGUGAAAUGCAUAGAUAUCACGAGGAACGACGGUAGCGAAGGCAGCUCGCCGGGCCGGUAUUGACGCGGAGGCACGAAAGCGUGGGGA